rnacentral:rRNA from 1 species
UACGUAGGUGGCAAGCGUUGUCCGGAGUUAUUGGGCGUAAAGCGCGCGCAGGCGGUGCGGUAAGUCUCUGGUGAAAGCGCUCGGCUUAACUGGGCGAGGGCCGGGGAGACUGCAACGCUGGAGGGGAGCAGAGGCGAGUGGAAUUCCGGGUGUAGUGGUGGAAUGCGUAGAGAUCCGGAAGAACACCGGUGGCGAAGGCGGCCUGCUGGGACAGUGCUGACGCUGAGGCGCGACAGCGUGGGGAGCAAACAGG